UACGUAGGGGGCAAGCGUUGUCCUGAAUCAUUGGGCGUAAAGAGCGUGUAGGCGGCUCGGUAAGUCCGCUCUGAAAGCCCGGGGCUCAACCCCGGGAGGCGGGCGGAUACUGUCGGGCUAGAGUCCGGAAGAGGCGAGUGGAAUUCCUGGUGUAGCGGUGAAAUGCGCAGAUAUCAGGAGGAACACCAAUGGCGAAGGCAGCUCGCUGGGACGGUACUGACGCUGAGACGCGAAAGCGUGGGGAGCAAACAGG
rnacentral:rRNA from 1 species